rnacentral:rRNA from 1 species
ACGGAGGCAGGGGGAGGUCAAUCAUCAUGCCCUUAUGACCUCGCUACACACGCGUCCAAUGGACGGUACAAAGAGCUGCAAGACCCGAGGUGGAGCAAUCUCAGAAAACCGUUCUUCUCCUCGGAUUGUAGGCAGCAACUCGCCUACAUGAAGCUGGAAUCGCUAGUAAUCGCGGAUCAGCAUGCCGCGGUGCUUACGUUCUCGGGCCUUGUACACACCGCCCGUCACACCACGAGAGUUUGUAACACCCGAAGUCGGUGGGGUAACCUUUUUGGAGCCAGCCGCCUAAGGUGGACAGAGGAUUGGGGGA